CCUACGGGUGGCAGCAGGAGGGAAUAUUGCUCAAUGGGGGAAACCCUGAAGCAGCAACGCCGCGUGGAGGAUGAAGGUUUUCGGAUGGUAAACUCCUGUUGUUAGAGAAGAGAAUUACGGUAUCUAACGAAUAUUCACCGGCUAACUCCGUGCCAGCCGCCGUGGGAAUACGGCGGGUGCAAGGGUUAUUCGGAAUCACCGGGCGUAAAGAGGGCGUAGGCUGGUUAGAAAGUCAGGUGUGAAAUCCUAUGGCUUAACCCUAGAACUGCAUUUGAAACUGGUAUUCUAGAGUGUGGGAGAGGUAGGUGGAAUUCUUGGUGUAGUGGUGAAAUCCGUAGAGAUCACGAAGAAUACUCAUUGCGAAGGCGGCCUGCUAGAGCAUAACUGACGCUGAUGCGCGAAAGCGUGGGGAGCAAACAGGAUUAGAUACCCCAGUAGUC
rnacentral:rRNA from 1 species